rnacentral:precursor_RNA from 15 species
UGGAAAAACGUGAAAAACGAUUCGGGAAUUGGCCACUACCUCGCACUCACGUGAUGCACUCAAAACGCCGACGAGGACGUCCAAAUUCCAUUUUCUCGUUUUCCUCUGUCGUUUUGCGUUGAUUUCAUAUUUCAUGUGAUGUGACGUAGUGGAACAUUCCUGGCGUUGCCCCAGCAAUCCGUGAGA